UGCAUAAUGGCGAAGUGGUUAUGGCAUCAGACUCUUGAUCUGAUUCACGUAUGUGAGUGCGGGUUCGAAUCCCGCUUCUGCAA